rnacentral:rRNA from 1 species
UGGGGAAUAUUGCACAAUGGGGGAAACCCUGAUGCAGCGACGCCGCGUGAGCGAUGAAGUAUUUCGGUAUGUAAAGCUCUAUCAGCAGGGAAGAAACUGACGGUACCUGACUAAGAAGCACCGGCUAAAUACGUGCCAGCAGCCGCGGUAAUACGUAUGGUGCAAGCGUUAUCCGGAUUUACUGGGUGUAAAGGGAGCGUAGACGGACUUGCAAGUCUGAAGUGAAAGCCCAGGGCUCAACCCCGGGACUGCUUUGGAAACUGUAGGUCUAGAGUGCUGGAGAGGUAAGUGGAAUUCCUAGUGUAGCGGUGAAAUGCGUAGAUAUUAGGAGGAACACCAGUGGCGAAGGCGGCUUACUGGACAGUAACUGACGUUGAGGCUCGAAAGCGUGGGGAGCAAACA